GGAUGCGAUCAUACCAGCACUAAAGCACCGGAUCCCAUCAGAACUCCGAAGUUAAGCGUGCUUGGGAUAGAGUAGUACUAGGAUGGGUGACCUCCUAGGAAGUCCUCGUGUUGCAUUCC
rnacentral:rRNA from 2 species